rnacentral:rRNA from 1 species
AUGGGAACGCGAAGAACCUUACCUAGACUUGACAUCUCCUGAAUAGUGUAGAGAUACAUGAAGCCCUUCGGGGCAGGAAGACAGGUGGUGCAUGGUUGUCGUCAGCUCGUGUCGUGAGAUGUUGGGUUAAGUCCCACAACGAGCGCAACCCUUAUUACUAGUUGCUACCAUUAAGUUGAGCACUCUAGUGAGACUGCCCGGGGUUAACCGGGAGGAAGGCGGGGAUGACGUCAAAUCAUCAUGCCCCUUAUGUCUAGGGCAACACACGUGCUACAAUGGUGAGUACAGAUAGAUGCGAUACCGCAAGGUGGAGCCAAACUCUAAAACUCAUCCCAGUUCGGAUUGUAGGCUGCAACUCGCCUACAUGAAGCUGGAGUUGCUAGUAAUCGCGAAUCAGAAUGUCGCGGUGAAUACGUUCCCGGGUCUUGUACACACCG